rnacentral:sRNA from 1 species
AAACUAAUUGUCCUGGUUCGUUUUUAUGAGUUAGCGCACGGCUCAAAUCAUUGAGCCAUUCCCCUGAGCUCGGGACACCCCCCAUUCGUCCCGAGCCUUUUUUU